rnacentral:rRNA from 1 species
UACGGGGGGAGCAAGCGUUGUUCGGAUUUACUGGGCGUAAAGGGCGCGUAGGCGGCGUAACAAGUCACUUGUGAAAUCUCCGGGCUUAACCCGGAGCGGCCAAGUGAUACUGUUGUGCUAGAGUGCGGAAGGGGCUACUGGAAUUCUCGGUGUAGCGGUGAAAUGCGUAGAUAUCGAGAGGAACACCUGCGGCGAAGGCGGUUACCUGGGGCUUUGCUGACGCUGAUGCGCGAAAGCGUGGGGAGCGAUCCGG